UACGUAGGGUGCGAGCGUUAAUCGGAAUUACUGGGCGUAAAGCGUGCGCAGGCGGUGAGCUGUGUCCGAUGUGAAAGCCCCGGGCUUAACCUGGGAAUGGCAUUGGAAACUGGCUCGCUGGAGUGUGGCAGAGGGGGGUGGAAUUCCGCGUGUAGCAGUGAAAUGCGUAGAGAUGCGGAGGAACACCGAUGGCGAAGGCAGCCCCCUGGGCUAACACUGACGCUCAGGCACGAAAGCCAGGGGAGCAAACGGG
rnacentral:rRNA from 1 species